rnacentral:ncRNA from 1 species
UAUAAAUAAAUAUUAUGAUUUAUUAAAUUUAAUUUAAAUUUAUUUUACAUAUAAAUUUUAGUAUGAAUUUUAUAUUAUUUUAAAAAUAUUAUAUAAUAAAAGUAGUAAUUAAUAUUAAAAAUUUAAGAAAUUAAGAUUUAGUAAUAUUUUUAUUAUAAACAAAUUUUGUGCCAGCAGUUGCGGUUAUACAAAAUAUAAUUUAAAUUUUAUUAGUUAAUAAUUAAUAAUAAAUUAAAAAUUAAAUAUUAAAUUAUUAGGUGAAAUUUUAAUUUAAUGUAAAUUUUAAAUUAAUAUUAUGUUUUAUAAGAUUUUAUAAAAAACUAGGAUUAGAUACCCUAUUAUUAAAAAUUAAAAAUAAAAACUAAAAUAGUAUAUAAUAAUUUAUUGAAACUUAAAUAAUUUGGCGGUAUUUUAGUUCAUUUAGAGGAAUCUGUCUAAUAAUUGAUAAUCCACGAAUAAAUUUACUUAAUUAAUAAAUUUUGUAUAUCGUUGUUAGAAAAAUAUUUUUUUAAAAAAAUAAUAUUUAAAAAUUUAUUUUAAAAAUUAAUUCAGAUCAAGAUGCAGAUUAUAAUUAAGAAUAUGAUGGAUUACAUUAAAAAAAAUUAAAUGAAUAAUAUUUUGUAAAAAAUAUUUGAAGGUGGAUUUAAAUGUAAUUUUAUUUAAUUUAAUAAAAUGAAUAAAAAUUAGAAUAUGUACAUAUUGCCCGUCGCUUUCAUUAAUAAAUUGGAAUAAGUCGUAACAAAGUAGGAGUACUGGAAAGUGUUCCUAGAAAGAA